UGAAUGUCAAAUGCCAGAACAGACACAAAGCCUGAUUUAUUGGUUAUAUCGCCAUUCCACCAAACACUUGCAGCAAACAACCCCCUACUACAAUACACUCUGCUGCUGGAUCUUGGGAGAGUCAAAUAGAGCAUUAUGAAACAGUCCUGAACGUGAAAUUUGGAACCACCGUAGACUAGCAGGCAGCAAAGGCCCUCGUUUUUGAAGCAGAAGGUCAUGAGUUAUACCCUGCUGCCGCAUGACUGUGAAAUGAGCAAAAAAAGCUUCUGCUGAAGAGUUGCUGCAGUUCCGUCUUAUGCCCACCAGAGGGUGCUGUAGCAUCAGAACACAGCAGCUGUUCCUGCCAGCCCCAGCUAGGAUAGGGAAGAGAAAGAGGCUG